CUUCGCGUGGCUCCCGGGUGCCCUGGGCCCAAAAACUUGAAUUCCAAUCCUGUGGCCACUGAGCCAGUGCACUGGGGCCCCAGAGAGUCUGUGUAACUUGCGUGAGGCCCGUUGGCCUGCACGAAUUGCCCGCCAUGGUUAUUGAAUGACUUGAACGCAUCAAAACCAUUGUUUUGCCCUUUUGGCGAAAAGGGUGAAAUCUCAAUUCUGAAUGUCUUAGGUGAAUACUUAGUAAGUCGCCAAAAUGACUAACACAAAGGGAAAGAGAAGAGGGACCCGCUAUAUGUUCUCUAGGCCUUUUAGAAAACAUGGUAAGUACAUUUACCUUUCUUGAGAAUAAGCAUG